CCGGAAAUACUUGUCCGAGAAAUGCACAAAAAUGGAUGUAUCUAGAACUAAAAUACGUCUAGAUACAUCCAUUCUUCGGACAGGUAUUUUCGGACGGCGGGAGUAGCAA
rfam:Hordeum vulgare subsp. vulgare, WGS project CAJW01000000 data, contig: morex_contig_139771